UGGUAUAUAGUUUAUCUAAAACAAAUGAUUUCGACUCAUUAGAUUAUGAACACUCAUAUUUACCAA
rnacentral:tRNA from 1 species